AUGCACGCUGGCGGCGUGCUUAACCCAUGCAAGUCGAACGAAGCACUUAAGAUUGAUUCUUCGGAUGACGUCUUUUGUGACUUAGUGGCGGACGGGUGAGUAACGCGUGGGUAACCUGCCUCACACAGGGGGAUAACAGUUAGAAAUGACUGCUAAUACCGCAUAACCCGAUAGGAUCGCAUGAUCCAGACGGAAAAGAUUUAUCGGUGUGAGAUGGACCCGCGUCUGAUUAGCUAGUUGGUGAGGUAACGGCCCACCAAGGCGACGAUCAGUAGCCGGCCUGAGAGGGUGAACGGCCACAUUGGGACUGAGACACGGCCCAAACUCCUACGGGAGGCAGCAGUGGGGAAUAUUGCACAAUGGGGGAAACCCUGAUGCAGCGACGCCGCGUGAGUGAAGAAGUAUUUCGGUAUGUAAAGCUCUAUCAGCAGGGAAGAAAAUGACGGUACCUGACUAAGAAGCCCCGGCUAACUACGUG
rnacentral:rRNA from 1 species